GCAAGUCGAACGGUAAGGCUCCUUCGGGAGUACACGAGUGGCGGACGGGUGCGUAACGCGUACGAAACAUACCUUCAACAGGGAGAUACCCCCGGGAAACUGGGAUUAAUACCCCAUAGUAUUACGAAAUCGCAUGAUUUUGUAAUUAAAACUUUGGUGGUUGAAGAUUGUCGUGCGUCUGAUUAGUUAGUUGGCGAGGUAACGGCUCACCAAGACGAUGAUCAGUAGCUGGUCUGAGAGGAUGAUC
rnacentral:rRNA from 1 species